UACGGGGGGGGCAAGCGUUGUUCGGAAUUACUGGGCGUAAAGGGCUCGUAGGUGGCCAACUAAGUCAGACGUGAAAUCCCUCAGCUUAACUGGGGAACUGCGUCCGAUACUGGAUGGCUUGAGUUUGGGAGAGGGAUGCGGAAUUCCAGGUGUAGCGGUGAAAUGCGUAGAUAUCUGGAGGAACACCGGUGGCGAAGGCGGCAUCCUGGACCAACACUGACACUGAGGAGCGAAAGCCAGGGGAGCAAACGGG
rnacentral:rRNA from 1 species